rnacentral:rRNA from 1 species
CCUACGGGUGGCAGCAGUGGGGAAUAUUGGACAAUGGGCGAAAGCCUGAUCCAGCCAUGCCGCGUGUGUGAAGAAGGCCUUCGGGUUGUAAAGCACUUUCAGUGGGGAAGAAAGCCUUGGGGCUAAUACCCUCGAGGAAGGACAUCACCCACAGAAGAAGCACCGGCUAACUCCGUGCCAGCAACCGCGGUAAUACGGAGGGUGCGAGCGUUAAUCGGAAUUACUGGGCGUAAAGCGCGCGUAGGCGGUCUGAUAAGCCGGUUGUGAAAGCCCCGGGCUCAACCUGGGAACGGCAUCCGGAACUGUCAGGCUAGAGUGCAGGAGAGGAAGGUAGAAUUCCCGGUGUAGCGGUGAAAUGCGUAGAGAUCGGGAGGAAUACCAGUGGCGAAGGCGGCCUUCUGGACUGACACUGACGCUGAGGUGCGAAAGCGUGGGUAGCAAACAGGAUUAGAUACCCGGGUAGUC